UCGAGGAUCUUCGGCAAUGGGCGCAAGCCUGACCGAGCGACGCCGCGUGCGCGAUGAAGGCCUUCGGGUUGUAAAGCGCUGUCGAGGGGGAGGAAAGCCCGCAAGGGUUUGACCUAUCCCUGGAGGAAGCACGGGCUAAGUUCGUGCCAGCAGCCGCGGUAAGACGAACCGUGCGAACGUUGUUCGGAUUCACUGGGCUUAAAGGGCGCGUAGGCGGUCUCGCACGUCCGGGGUGAAAGCUUUCGGCUUAACCGGAAAAGGGUCUUGGAUACGGCGAGACUUGAGGGAGGUAGGGGCAGGUGGAACUUCCGGUGGAGCGGUGAAAUGCGUUGAUAUCGGAAGGAACGCCGGUGGUGAAAGCGACCUGCUGGAUCUCUACUGACGCUGAGGCGCGAAAGCCAGGGGAGCAAACGG
rnacentral:rRNA from 1 species